UACGUAGGGUGCGAGCGUUAAUCGGAAUUACUGGGCGUAAGGGGUGCGUAGAUGGCCUGAUAAGUUAGCAGUGGGAAAUCGAGGCUCAACCUCGUGGAAGCUGGUAAUACUGUCAGGCUCGAGUGCAGGAGAGGUUAACGGAACUCCAUGUGGAGCGGUAAAAUGUGUAGAUAUAUGGAAGAACACCAAUAACGGCGAAGGCAGUUAACUAUUCUGUUACUGACAUUGAGGCACGAAAGCGUGGGGAGCAAACAGG
rnacentral:rRNA from 1 species